rnacentral:rRNA from 1 species
GAUGAACGCUAGCUACAGGCUUAACACAUGCAAGUCGAGGGGAAACGGCAUUGAGUGCUUGCACUCUUUGGACGUCGACCGGCGCACGGGUGAGUAACGCGUAUCCAACCUUCCCAUUACUGUGGGAUAACCUGCCGAAAGGCAGACUAAUACCGCAUAGUCUUCGAUGACGGCAUCAGAUUUGAAGUAAAGAUUUAUCGGUAAUGGAUGGGGAUGCGUCUGAUUAGCUUGUUGGCGGGGUAACGGCCCACCAAGGCUACGAUCAGUAGGGGUUCUGAGAGGAAGGUCCCCCACAUUGGAACUGAGACACGGUCCAAACUCCUACGGGAGGCAGCAGUGAGGAAGAUUGGUCAAGGGACGGAAGUCUGAACCAGCCAAGUAGCGUGCAGGAUGACGGCCCUAUGGGUGGUAAACUGCUUUUGUAUGGGGAUAAAGUUAGGGACGUGUCCCUAUUUGCAGGUACCAUACGAAUAAGGACCGGCUAAUUCCGUG